rnacentral:rRNA from 1 species
UACGUAGGGGGCAAGCGUUGUCCGGAUUUAUUGGGCGUAAAGAGCGUGUAGGCGGCUUUGCAAGUCCGUUGUGAAAACUCGAGGCUCAACCUCGAGACGCCGGUGGAAACUGCAAAGCUAGAGUCCGGAAGAGGAGAGUGGAAUUCCUGGUGUAGCGGUGAAAUGCGCAGAUAUCAGGAAGAACACCGGUGGCGAAGGCGGCCCGCUGGGCAGGAAGGCUCGCAAGAGCCGGCUGACGCUGAGGCGCGACAGCGUGGGGAGCAAACAGG